rnacentral:rRNA from 1 species
UACGUAGGGGGCGAGCGUUGUCCGGAUUUAUUGGGCGUAAAGAGCGUGUAGGCGGUUCGGUAAGUCUGUCGUGAAAUCCUGAGGCUCAACCUCGGACGUGCGAUGGAUACUGCCGGGCUAGAGGAUGGUAGAGGCGAGUGGAAUUCCCGGUGUAGCGGUGAAAUGCGCAGAUAUCGGGAGGAACACCAGUAGCGAAGGCGGCUCGCUGGGACGGUACUGACGCUGAGGCGCGAAAGCGUGGGGAGCGAACAGG